rnacentral:rRNA from 1 species
UGGAGUGUUGGCCUUCGGGACUCUGAGACAGGUGCUGCAUGGCUGUCGUCAGCUCGUGUUGUGAGAUGUUGGGUUAAGUCCCGCAACGAGCGCAACCCUUAUCCUUGUUUGCCAGCACUUCAUGUGGGAAAUUCUAGGGAACUGGCCGGGGACAACCGGAAGAAGGGGGGGAAUAACUCCAAUCCUUCUGGGCCUUUACAGCCAGGCUACCCCCCUUCUUCCAUGGGUUAUACCAAAGGGAUGCAAACCGCCAGGGGGAACCAAUCCCCAAAAACCCGUUCUAAUCCCGAAUGGAAUCCGGCACUUCACCUCCUUAAAUCCGAAUCCCUUAUAAUCCUGGAACCAAAUUUCCCGGGGAAAACAUUUUCCGGGCUUUUGCACACCCCCCCUAAA